rnacentral:misc_RNA from 1 species
GAUGAAGCGUGCCGAAAGGCACGUGGAA